rnacentral:lncRNA from 1 species
CAGACUCCCACAUUGCCUAGCAGCUGGGGUUGGAGCCCAAGGCUUCACUCUCCUCUCCCCACCACCCCAUGCUAGGCCCAAGGGCAGCACCACAAAGGGGCACUGCCAGGCGCCUCCACCCCAGACACUUGUGAGGGCUCCAGGACACCAGGUCUGGCACAUUCCCAUCCUGGGGACCUAACAGGCUAGCAGGCGAGGCAGACAGUUGGCCAGUUAGCUCCAGUCCUAGGUAGAUGGAGAAUGGCCUUUCCGAGAGGUCCCAGCAGGAGGAUGUGACAAUGGAGGGACAAAGCAGAGGCUUCCGGCCCUCGCUGGUCUCCUGUGCUCCAAGACAUCUUCCACAAAGGAUUUCCUGGACUCCCCCCCAACACUUGUGCAAAGCCAAGUCUACUCUGGGUAAGGAAGACAUGAUUCCCACCAAGCAACAGUGAGGGCCUCCCUCUCCUAGCACUCUAGAUGCAAAGCUGUUGGCCAACAUCCCUCAGUAAACGGAGGACAUAGAAAACAAUGUCAGCUCCUGGCACUGCAGACUCCCUUGCUCUAGGCAUGGAUUCUUCUGAUUUCAGAGACUGUUUCCAGCAUAAUGGUCCCUCACGCUACCCCUUCCAUGGCCUCUGACCAUCAGCCUUCCAAAUCUAAAGGUGAACAUUUAUUCUUUCCCCCAAACCAUCCCGUAGCAACUGAGCCUGCUGAGACCUUGAUUCAGCCAUCUCUUCUCCCUCAAGGGCACAACUGAUCAGCAAGCCUUCUAUGUAUUCAUCCUGGUUGCAUAUUUAGAAAAUAAAUGGACCGGCCAAUCACAGAGGCCUGCCCUUUAGGCUGCUGCUGAACCUCACUCACUGGGGUGUGGCUGCAGAAGCUACCAUCUGAACCACAUGCAUCCACCUUGUCCAUGAGGACAUUGUGAGAUUUCACCCAGUAUCUUCUGGAAUCCAGGUGAUGCGGCCGGCCAACAGCACGUCUUGUACUACUAACCAGUCACCCUGCUGGAAGAGGAACUGGGGUGGAUGGAGUGCUUUUCAAACAUGUCCACAAAUUCUUCAACACUCUUUCCCCAUCAAGAGGUGGUGUCUAAUUCCCCCCGACCUUGAAUAUGGGCUGGCCCCAGGGACUUCAGUGCAAUGGAAUGUGUAAUGCUGCAUGACUUAUGAGGCUAAGGCAUGAAAGGCAAGACAGCUUCUCGCUGGCCCUUUCCUGGGAAGCUCCCUCUUGGAACCCAGCCACCAUGUUGUGAGGAAGCCCAGGCCACUUGGAGAGGCUACAUUUGAGUGGUCUGGCUGACAGUCCACACUGACCACCAGGUAUGGGAGUGCGCAAACCUUGGAGAUGACUUAGCCCCAGACAACUUCUGACUGUAACUGUAUGACAGACCUUCUCACUCCUGCCAAACAAGAACCACUUAGCUGAGCCCAGCUGGCACCAGGACCAUGACAGAGAAUAACAACAACAACAACAACAACAACAACAAUAAUAAUAAUAAUAAUAAUA